rnacentral:rRNA from 1 species
UACGUAGGGGGCAAGCGUUGUCCGGAUUUAUUGGGCGUAAAGAGCGUGUAGGCGGCCAUGUAGGUCCGUUGUGAAAACUCGAGGCUCAACCUCGAGACGCCGAUGGAAACCAUGUGGCUAGAGUCCGGAAGAGGAGAGUGGAAUUCCUGGUGUAGCGGUGAAGUGCGCAGAUAUCAGGAAGAACACCCGUGGCUAAGGCGGCUCUCUAGUACGGUACUGACGCUGAGACGCGAAAGCGUGGGGAGCGAACAGG